AUGCUCACUUAGGCAGCACAUAUACUAAAAAUUGAAACAAUACAGAGAAGAUUAGCAUGGCCCCUCCGCAACGAUAACAUGCAAAUUUGUGAAGCAUUACAAAGAGAU